AUGCACGGCGGUGAAAAGUGUAGUAGUAAUCUUCAUCAAUCAAAUCAACCACAACUUUUACCGCUCUCCAAUGUCAUGUGGCGCGCAAUUUCAUUAUCAAUCCCCUGUUCUGUCUGGCACGUAAAAAAAAGGGACAAAAGACGGCGACGUGAUCGAUCGACGGACCGACGAGCUCUUCUAGGCCUUGGCGGCGGCGGCGGGCACGACGAAGAAGUGCUGCGCGACGAUGCGGCGCUGGAUCUUGCCGGUGGCCGUCUUGGGCAGGUCGGCGGCGAUGUACACCUUCUUGGGCACCUUGAACGCCGCCAGGUUCUUCCGGCAGAAGGCCACCACCUCCUCCUCGCCCAGCGCCACGCUCUCCCUGGGGAUCACCGCGCAGUGGAUCUCCUCGCCGUACUUCUCGUCGGGGACGCCGAACGACACCGCCUGCGCCACGUCCGGGUGGCCCAGCAGCACCGAGUCCACCUCGAUGGGCGAGAUCUUCUCGCCGCCCCGGUUGAUGAGCUCCUUGAUCCGCCCCACCAGGCUCACGUACCCCUCGCCGUCCAUCACGCCGAUGUCGCCCGUGUGGAACCACCCGUGCAGGAACGCCGCCUCGUUCGCGCCGGGGUCGGCGGUCUUGUACCCGGCCGUCACGUUCGGCCCGCGGAUGCACACCUCCCCGCGCUCCCCGGCGGGGACAUGGUUGCCGGCCUCGUCCAGCACCGCCACCUCCAGCGACCCCGCCGCCCGCCCCACGGACCCCGGCUUGCGCGCCCCGUCCUGCGGCAGCGGGUUGGAGGUCAUCAUGUGGGAGGCCUCCGUCAUGGCGUACGCCUCCAGCACCGGCGCCCCGAACGCCGCCUCCAGCCGCUCCAGGAUCACCGGCGCCAGCGACGCGCUGCAGCUCCGCACGAACCGGAGCGCCGGGUACCGCGGCUCCGGCCGCGACGCGUGCCGGUCCAGGAUGAUCUGGUGGAUGGUCGGCACCGCCGUGUACCACGUGGCGCCCGCCGCGAGCAUGUCGGCCCAGAACGUGGACGCCGAGAAGCGGCCGGCGGCGGGGAGCGCCACCGACGCGCCGGAGGCGAGCGAGGACAGCAGCGCGCACAUGAGGCCGUGCACGUGGAAGAGCGGCAGCGUCACCACCGUCGCGUCCGUCUCGGCGAACCGGUACACGGCGCGGAUGUUCUGCACGGAGGCCGCCAGGUUGCGCUGCGUGAGCGGCACCCCCUUGGGCCGGCUCGUCGUGCCGGAGGUGUGCAGGAACAGGGCCACGUCCGACGGCUCGUUCUCCUCUUUAUGUUGGAGGGUGCCGUUGUUCUGCGGCGCGGGGUUGCCUUCGACGAGGCCGGUGAGUCCGAGCGGGCCGGCGGCGUCGGUGAGCGUGGCGGCGACGGCGUGGGGGAGGCCGAGCUUGGCGGCGGCGGCCUGCGCGGGCGCGUUGCCGUCGGCGCCGGUGACGAGCAGGCGCGCGCCCGAGUCGGAGAGGUAGAACUCGAACUCGUCCUGCGUGUAGGCCGGGUUGAGCGGCGCCGCCACGCCCCGCGCGCGGAUCACCGCCAGGAACACCACCACCAGCUGCGCGCGCGAAAUCAAGAGAGACGAAUUGAGAAACAGAGCCGCGCGAGGACGAACGAUCCAUUGAUGGAUGGAUUUAUUUAUAUAUAUAGACGGUUAUUGAUCAAGAAAUUGGUUACCUCGACGGUGUUGGGGAAGCAGAGCGCGACGGUCUGGCCGGGGCGGAGGCCGUCGGGGCCGGCGGCGAGGCGCGCGGCGGCGGCGUCGACGAGGGCGUCGAGCGCGGCGUGCGUGAGGUCGAUCUUGGCGUGGACGGCGAUGGCGCGGCGGUCGGGGAAGGCGGCGGCGGCGGCCUUGAGGAGGGAGGUGAGCGUGAGGGCGUCCAUGGAUGAUGGAUCCGUCUUAGCGACGAUGCGUGGCGGGCGCCAAUGUGCUGUGUUGGUUUCCUCUCUUGUCCGCUCCGUGCGUGACUGGCUGGUGUCGUCCCUCGUCCGAUGGUGCCGGUUUAUAAACGAACACGGAGUAGAGGCGGUUUCGCUUUUGGUUCGCUCGGUCAGCUCGCCGGCGGCUGGUGGGCGCCGGUCCGGAGCGGGCCCGCCGGGAGAUUCGCGGCGGUUGUUGAUCUGCGAUGGGGACUCGUCUUCUUCCUCCUGGCAGCAACCCAAACCCAAAUCGAAAUUUUGUUACGUACUAGCUGCUGGGUGCUGUUAUGCAGGCACACGAUGA
rnacentral:rRNA from 1 species